rnacentral:lncRNA from 1 species
GAAAUUCCCCCUUGAUGCAAUAAGGUUUCGUGCUUGGUGCAUAUACUACGAUAUUGUAGUCUUCAAGCACAUCUGCAAACGUACCUAAAAAUAGGUUUUAGGUACCCAAACACUUUUGGGUUCUUGGGGGUUAGGCAAAUAAUAAUCAUAGCUAAAAGAUAAAUCCCUAUGUUUUGCAAAACAUACGGGUGCUAUGUGUCCUACCCGGUUGCAAUAAUGACAUAUAACAUUCGGGUUGUGCAUAUGUCUUGGUUGAGCCAAGAACGUUCUAGG